GGAAAGCUUUCCUGGGCCCUGGAUGUAAAGGCCAGGGAGCAACGCAAGGAGAAGUCUGCAAGGAAAAUUACAGCAACACAGAAGCCUGUGCUGGCCUGGUGCAAUCCCUUCUGCAGUUCUUACAGGAAGCAAAAGAAAUAGCAGUCCAGCAGUGGGCCUGGCCUCCACGCCACACCUCCUUCCACGUCUGCAGUUGGAGCAGGAAGGGCAGUGGUGGGGCCGACUCCCUGACAGGGAUCAGAACAGUACAUUUCAAGAACAAAGCCUGUGCCGUUUACCUGCAGAUCAAAGUUGGCUCUUAAUAAGAUGUGUGUCGGAGGGGGCAGAGAGAGGACUGUUUCCCUUUAUUCCAUUAAAAAGGGAUUAUGAGGUGACUGACCAGCAUCAUGAAAAUAUGCUGCAAUAUCCUCAUCUUAAAAAGUGAAGAUAAUAAAGAAAAAAAAAACUUUUUAUGGAUCCAAGGCUGGUGUUCAGCUGGAACACACCAGAACUACCAUCCUGACUGUUAAAAUAUUGAAACACUUCUGGACCUGGUGAGGUAAACUCCUAAGGGCAAAGGUGCCAUUAUGCCCAUUGAAGCUUCUCCAACACCUGGAACCAUCGAUUAGUCCCUGAAGAGCGAGACAAAGAAGGCUGAGGUAGAAGGCCCUGCAUACAUAAAGGAUCGUGAGAAGUUCAAACAGGACACAUGGAGAACCUGAAGGAUGGGGCUCUAACAGUCCCAGGUGGAUCUCUGGCUCCUCAGCGAUGGACAUUUAGCCAUUGCCGGUGAAGGUGUAGGAUAGUGACUGGGCCCUGGGGCAGCCAACCUGGUUCCACUGCACAGGUCUUUGGUGCGCUGGGGUUCCCAGGGACUGUGCUUGACUGUGUCCCCCGGUCGCCUGCCCCAAUGGCCAGGGAGUCCUUCUUGCUGUGUCAGCAAGGAGAUCUCUGACUCUCCCUUUAACACCAGGCUGCCUCAACACCAUGGCAUCAGAGCAUCCUGAAAGAUCCCAAGAGCUAUUCCAGUUCAUCCCUCUGCUUCUGAAAAGGAUUUUUCCUAAGAAAAGAUUUCUCCAACUCCUUCAGCCUCCCGUUCCAAUGUCAUAUCAUCCUUUCCGUGAAGAUACACUUACUCAAAUCUGAUAGAAACCCUUCAUGCUAAAAAGGCCUGAAUUCUCAGUUGUGUUUUCAUGUGUGGUGGAACAGUAGUCAGCUCUGAGGAUACUGCCUCAGACACCUGUGACUCAGCCACACUUAGUCCCCGGAGUCAGCAUUUGCCUCCUGGCUCUACUCCUUGUGAGCAUAGUGAUAUUAGGCUAAUUACUCAAACUUUCAGGUUCUCACCUGUAAAAUGGGCACAAUGAUAGGCCUUACGUGUGAAUUCAUUUUGAGGAUUAAAUAUAGAUAAAAGGCUUCAUACAGUGCCUAGCUCAUCAUAAAUGCUUACCAAAUUUUAGCUUAAAAAAUAAAGUGAAAAAAAUGCCUAAUUUCAUCUGCAUCUGAGGUUAAUUUGUACACAAUUUAGAGACUAACAAACCUCUGGUCAACAUUGCCAGGGAGAACCAAAAAAAGCAAAUGCCUAAUAGUAAUUUAAAAAAAGCAAAUAGUAAUUACACUUUUAGUUUUCUUAUUUUCUACCACUUUGCAGAAGAGUAGAACAUUCACUCUUAAGUGGCGGUUAUAUAUCAGUUAUAAAAGUGUUAAAUCCGUGAAGGCAAAGAAAAAAGAAGAAAGAGACAGGAACCGUCCUGCUGUUGCCAUGGUAACGAGGCAGGUUACCUGGACAAAGAUUUUGGAAAUCUCUUAAAAGAAUAGCCAGAGAUGUUUCUGUCUAUUUUGGGAAGGACAAAGUCUUCCUUUAUCCUCCGCUAAAGACACACAACCACUUGUUUGCUGAAUAUCUCCCAAUUAACUCAGGGCUUGAUCUGAGAGGAGGCAGGAUGUCAUGAGCAGGCAGGUGGCGGAAUGGAAAGGAUCUUGGCAGGGGGCUGCAAGGUAAAGGCAAAUAUCAGUGGAAAAUGCAAGAUCAAACUGCCCAGGAUGGCUAUUGUUUCAUUUAAAAUGUCCAAAGAGCGUUCAUUAAAACAUCAUUCUCACACAGGAAGACCCCCAACUCGUACAGAUUAAGUUUACAAGAAAUUGAAUCCUUAACCAAUAACACUUCCAUUUUUAUUAACAUUACUGACACGAAGUGAUUAAAAACUCUGGUGGGCAAGACUUUCUCUGAAAGUUAUUAUUUAUAUGUAAAGGAAUAAAGAGCUCACGAUGC
ensembl:lncRNA